AUGGCCGACGGCGAUGGUUGCUCCAUCCCCCUCCCCCUCCCAGACGGCUGCCUUUUCCUCGGGUUUGAUUGCUCCACGCAGUCGCUGAAAGCCACCGUGCUGGACGCGAGCCUCGCAAUCGUCGCCCACGACGCCGUGCACUUCGACUCCGAGCUGCCGCACUACGGCACGGAGGGCGGCGUCCGCCGGGACCCGGCCGAGCCGGGCCGCAUCGUGUCGCCGCCGCUGAUGUGGGCCGAGGCCCUGGACCUGCUCCUCCGCAGGCUCAAGCCCAGGGUGGACUACGGCCGCGUAGCCGCCGUCUCCGGCAGCGCGCAGCAGCACGGCAGCGUCUACUGGGGCCGCGGGGCGGGCGCCGCGUUGGCCUCCCUGGACCCGGCCAGGGGCCUGGCGCCGCAGCUGGCCGGCGCGUUCGCCGCGCCGGAGUCGCCCGUGUGGAUGGACAGCAGCUCGACGGCGCAGUGCCGGGAGGUCGAGGCCACGCUGGGAGGCCCGCUGGCGCUGGCCCGGAUGACGGGGUGCCGGGCGCACGAGCGGUGCACCGGCCCGCAGAUCAGGAAGAUGUUCCAGACGAGGCGGGGCCUCUACGACGGCACCGAGAGGAUCUCGCUUGUCAGCUCGUUCAUGGCGUCGUUGCUCAUCGGCGGCUAUGCCUGCAUCGACCAGACCGACGGUGCCGGGAUGAACUUGAUGGACAUUGAGACGCGUCAGCUGCGCCAAGAUGCCCUUGAGGCUACAGCUCCAGAUUUGGAUGUGAAGAUUGGGAAGCUAGCACCAGCGCAUGCUAUCGCUGGAACUUUAGCUCCUUAUUUUGUUCAGAGAUUUCAGUUUCCAAGCAACUGUCUGGUUGUUCAGUGGUCAGGGGACAACCCCAAUAGCCUUGCAGGCCUAACAUUGAGCAAUCCUGGUGAUCUAGCAAUCAGCCUUGGAACAAGUGAUACAGUAUUUGGGGUUACUGAUGUGCCUGAACCAUCCCUGGAUGGAAACGUACUUCCUAAUCCAGUUGACCCCAACACCUACAUGGUUAUGCUUUGCUAUAAAAAUGGAUCUCUAACUCGAGAAGACAUUCGUGAUCGUUAUGCUGAGAAAUCAUGGGAUGUGUUCAACAACUUGCUUGAGCAAACAGACCCCCUAAAUGGAGGGAAACUAGGAUUUUACUACAAGGAGCACGAGAUCCUGCCACCACUUCCAGUCGGGUUUCACCGCUACAUUGUUGACACCUUAACCAAUGGACCAUUAGCUGAGACCAAGGAACAUGAAACCGAUGAGUUUGAUCCUCCGUCAGAGGUGCGUGCGUUAAUAGAAGGCCAGUUCAUGUCCAUGAGGGGACAUGCCGAGAGGUGCGGCCUGCCGGUGCCUCCGAAGCGGAUCAUAGCAACUGGUGGCGCCUCGUCGAACCAGGCCAUUCUCAAGACGAUGGCGUCCAUUUUCGGCUGUCCGGUUUACACUGUUCAGAGACCAGACUCUGCCUCGCUGGGUGCUGCUCUGAGGGCAGCCCAUGGGUGGCUCUGCAAGCAGCGCGGCGAGUUUGUGCCGAUCUCACGCGUGUACUCGGGCAGAUUGGAUAGGAAAUCGCUCAGCAUGAAGCUGGCUGUUCCAUUUGGGGGCUGCGAGGGGGACGAUGAGCUCCUGAACAAGUACGCGUUGUUGGUGGAGAAGAGGCUGGAGAUUGAGCAGAAGCUUGUGGAGAGGUUUGGCCGUGUGAAGUAG
rnacentral:rRNA from 1 species